AUUGAACGCUGGCGGCAGGCCUAACACAUGCAAGUCGAGCGGAUGAAGGGAGCUUGCUCCUGGAUUCAGCGGCGGACGGGUGAGUAAUGCCUAGGAAUCUGCCUGGUAGUGGGGGAUAACGUCCGGAAACGGGCGCUAAUACCGCAUACGUCCUGAGGGAGAAAGUGGGGGAUCUUCGGACCUCACGCUAUCAGAUGAGCCUAGGUCGGAUUAGCUAGUUGGUGGGGUAAAGGCCUACCAAGGCGACGAUCCGUAACUGGUCUGAGAGGAUGAUCAGUCACACUGGAACUGAGACACCGUCCAGACUCCUACUGGAGGCAGCAGUGGGGAAUAUUGGACAAUGGGCGAAAGCCUGAUCCAGCCAUGCCGCGUGUGUGAAGAAGGUCUUCGGAUUGUAAAGCACUUUAAGUUGGGAGGAAGGGCAGUAAGUUAACACCUUGCUGUUUUGACGUUACCAACAGAAUAAGCACCGGCUAACUUCGUG
rnacentral:rRNA from 1 species